rnacentral:rRNA from 1 species
UACAGAGGUCUCAACCGUUGUUCGGAUUCAUUGGGCGUAAAGGGUGCGUAGGCGGCGGGGUAAGUCAGGUGUGAAAUCUCGGGGCUCAACCCCGAAACUGCACUUGAUACUGCCUCGCUUGAGUACUGGAGAGGAGACUGGAAUUUACGGUGUAGCAGUGAAAUGCGUAGAUAUCGUAAGGAAGACCAGUGGCGAAGGCGAGUCUCUGGACAGUUACUGACGCUGAGGCAGAAGGCCAGGGGAGCAAACGGG